GCAGGUAUGGUUUAGUGGUAAAACGUGUCCUUCCCAAGGAUAAGUCGCCGGUCCGAUUCCGGCUACCUGCU
rnacentral:tRNA from 1 species